rnacentral:lncRNA from 1 species
UUAGGAUGCUGCCUCAUUUACAUGGACCUCUCAAUUGAUUUCCGUUAUUUUAUUAGUACUUAACACGUGUGUUAAAAAAAGAGGUCGAAUAGGACAUUUGAAAUAGCUGUCAGUAAUUGCUAGUACUCUCAGAUCUGUAAUUAACGUCUUUUUGUUUCGGGGAUGUAUAAGUACCCUUCCAUGUUCACUCUAUGUUUUUGUUAAAAGUUUUCACUUUCACCCGUUAGAGGAGGUUAGGUGCCUUCAAAU